GGACAGAAGGAGUUGGUCAAGGACCCCACCGGGCGGAGGACUAGAGUGGCUGGUUUCGGGAGAGUCCAAGUCCUCAAUAGGGACCGACCCCAUGGCAGCGGCGACCGACUUACGUUUCUCGGCCCGAGCUUUCUUCCUUUGUCGUCGGUCGGACCGGCUGUCUCGAAGGCGGGCGUCUGAACCGGCAAGGGCGUCGGGCCCGGCCCCGGGAGCGUCGGCAAGAGGGGAAAUAGCGGGAACCUC
rnacentral:lncRNA from 1 species